rnacentral:lncRNA from 1 species
GAGAGCUCACAGCCAAUUUCAUGAGACGGUGCUACAUUAUCGUGCCUUCUUGCAUGAGGAAUUCAAGGCCACAUGCGGUUUCGUCACUUGUCAAAGAUCUUAAAACCAUUCAUCGGGAGAACUAGGAAAGGACACCUCUGGGCCUGCCUGUGAGCUGCUGCUAGAGAAGAUUAGCCGAGAACUGAGUGAAUGAGAGCCACCUUGAGAGGAGUGCCAUCUAACAGGCUGGAGGUCCGGGUGACGUGAGAAAGUAGAAAGGGGAAGCAAGCCCUGGAUUAUGAGUUUCUUCCCCAGUGGGUGUGGUUUGAUGCUGCCGAUUCAGAUGAACAUCACACUCCAGCAUCACACUCCAGCUUCUUCAGCCUUUGACAGACCUGCAGCAGUGAGAUGCAAGGACCUUGGAGGCCCUCACCCUCAGACCCAGGACAACCGUUGGCUUCUCAGUCUCUGUUCUCACAAGCAUCUUGUUCUGCGUUCCCUAGCUGACACCCAGCUCUCCAAUCUACAGAGGACUGCUGUGGCCCCACAGAGUACUCCAGACUAUUAGCUUCCUCUUGUUAUUGUAUAUAUUCCUUACCCUUAAUGGUCCCAAUACAAGGGUGAAUUAUCACUCUUCUCAGAUCUGUCACCAUCAAUCCAAUAAUGAAGAGAACCAUUUUCAUCUGAAUAAGCAAUUAACCUCCAAGUGGCAGCGUGGAACCAAGGUCUACAGUGGCUGCUGAGGUCAGACUUGAAGAAAUGACUCACAUGCAAGGCUGAUCUACAUAAGUAGCCUGUGCUAAGACUGCCAUCUGGUAGAACAAUCUACAUCACACGACUCCACGUUUCCUGUUACCCAAGGGACAACACCCUUGUUCUUCCACACUCAUCUUCACGGUCCUCACCUCUUGCUGACUAAAUCAAGUGUUGCUGAAAUCCCUUCCCAGGAGGAGACAGAAAAAAACAUGGACCCUUCCUUCGGAGGUUCCCAACAAUAAAUCGAGUCAACCCAAGUUUACUCUAGGAAAUCAGUGAAUUAUUGGACUUCCUUACCAAGAAUAGGUAUUAUGGAUGGAGCUGUCAGUCAGUUCUAGAGAAGAGGUCUUCACUGUGCACUGUGAGAUGGUAGCACCUCACCAAGUCAGGAGACCAAAAAAAGUCCCAUGGAGAACAACUGGGUAAAGAUGAUAUCACCUGAGUGAAUUUUUCAGCUCAGCCUUAGAGAGGAAUUGCCAGUGCUGAGGAGAGAAGCCAGACAGCCGAGGAUGGGGGUGUCUAUGCAUACAGGGGCAGCAAUGAACACUCAAAAAUGCAGAGUUGUUUGGGGAAUCUAAGAAGCGGGUGGGCCUGGGGCUGAUGUAACCCAACACGUAAUUGUAGCUAGUUUCACACUUGGAUUGAUGUCUUGAAGGUGAUUAAAAUCUUUAAAAGUUC